UCUCUCGUUCACUCACUCAACCUGGGUGUGAUGCUUAUUUGAAUCAUCACAACCUCCUUGAGUGAGCGACCGCGAAU
rfam:Anopheles culicifacies strain species A-37_1 cont1.14268, whole genome shotgun sequence.